rnacentral:snRNA from 1 species
AUACUCUGGUUUCUCUUCAGAUCAUAUGCAUCUCUCCUCUUUUACUGAAGAUUUCCGUGGAAAGGAACAACUCUGAGUCUUAAACCAAUUUUUUGAGGCCUUGCUUUGGAAGGGCU